CUAUUUGAAGAUUGCAUGAUCAUUCACUCAAGUAACAAAGAUGUGGGCGAUUACAAAAAUUUGGAAUUGUCAUUAUGCAGUGGAAAACAACACCCAGAUGUAUUUUUCUUUUCUUCAAGCAAAGCUCUGUCCUCCAUCUACAUGUACGGAAGUCCAACCUAAGUCUAAGACCUCUUGAUUCAAUUAUAUUUGAAGAUGGAAAUGAAGAAAAGGUUUGCAUCAAGGAACGACUUUGGAGCUAAAAGGACCUCUGUAAAAAGUUUUAUGCAGCCAGAAGAUUGUCUUGAUGCUGUGAACGACUAUUCAUUUGAAAGUGGUGAAGUACUGAUAACUGCACAGAAACAUAAACAUACAGUAAAUGGAGAAGGAGUCAGGAAGACAAUGUUCUGGCAAUGCAAUAAAAUUGUCCAAAACCAUGUUUUAAAAAUCAUACUUUAAAAUUACAUUUCAGCUCAAAUUUCUGCUUAUUCUUUUUUAAUAUAAAAAAUAAAAGUUAAAAUUGUUGUUA